rnacentral:rRNA from 1 species
UGAGAAUUGCGGCAGCUAUACAUGCAGUCGAGCGAAUGGAUUAAGAGCUUGCUCUUAUGAAGUUAGCGGCGGACGGGUGAGUAACACGUGGGUAACCUGCCCAUAAGACUGGGAUAACUCCGGGAAACCGGGGCUAAUACCGGAUAACAUUUUGAACCGCAUGGUUCGAAAUUGAAAGGCGGCUUCGGCUGUCACUUAUGGAUGGACCCGCGUCGCAUUAGCUAGUUGGUGAGGUAACGGCUCACCAAGGCAACGAUGCGUAGCCGACCUGAGAGGGUGAUCGGCCACACUGGGACUGAGACACGGCCCAGACUCCUACGGGAGGCAGCAGUAGGGAAUCUUCCGCAAUGGACGAAAGUCUGACGGAGCAACGCCGCGUGAGUGAUGAAGGCUUUCGGGUCGUAAAACUCUGUUGUUAGGGAAGAACAAGUGCUAGUUGAAUAAGCUGGCACCUUGACGGUACCUAACCAGAAAGCCACGGCUAACUACGUGCCAGCAGCCGCGGUAAUACGUAGGUGGCAAGCGUUAUCCGGAAUUAUUGGGCGUAAAGCGCGCGCAGGUGGUUUCUUAAGUCUGAUGUGAAAGCCCACGGCUCAACCGUGGAGGGUCAUUGGAAACUGGGAGACUUGAGUGCAGAAGAGGAAAGUGGAAUUCCAUGUGUAGCGGUGAAAUGCGUAGAGAUAUGGAGGAACACCAGUGGCGAAGGCGACUUUCUGGUCUGUAACUGACACUGAGGCGCGAAAGCGUGGGGAGCAAACAGGAUUAGAUACCCUGGUAGUCCACGCCGUAAACGAUGAGUGCUAAGUGUUAGAGGGUUUCCGCCCUUUAGUGCUGAAGUUAACGCAUUAAGCACUCCGCCUGGAGAGUACGGCCGCAAGGCUGAGACUCAAAGGAAUUGACGGGGGCCCGCACAAGCGGUGGAGCAUGUGGUUUAUUUCAAAGCAACGCGAAGAAUCUUACCAGGUCUUGACAUCCUCUGACAACCCUAGAGAUAGGGCUUCUCCUUCGGGAGCAGAGUGACAGGUGGUGCAUGGUUGUCGUCACCUCAGGCCAGGAAUGUUGGGUUUAACCCCCCAAACAACCCCACCCCUUGAUCUUUUUCCCUUUUUUAAGUGGAGCCUCAAAGGGGGCUGGCGGGGAACAACCCGAAGAAAGGGGGGGAAUCACGUAAACUUCUGCCCCUUUAUACCCGGGGCUCAGACUGG